UACGUAGGGGGCUAGCGUUGUCCGGAUUUAUUGGGCGUAAAGAGCGUGUAGGCGGCCAGGUAGGUCUGCUGUGAAAACUCGAGGCUCAACCUCGAGAUGUCGGCGGAAACCAUCUGGCUAGAGUCCGGAAGAGGAAAGUGGAAUUCCUGGUGUAGCGGUGAAAUGCGCAGAUAUCGGAAAGAACACCAACGGCGAAAGCACUCUGCUGGGCCGACACUGACACUGAGAGACGAAAGCUAGGGGAGCGAAUGGG
rnacentral:rRNA from 1 species